CACCACCGCCAGAGCUCCGUCCAGUUCCGCAGCCUCGGCCUCCAUAGCAGGCCGAGCUCUAAACACCACUCCAACCCCUACGGAGUACAACCUCUUUUUCAGUCGCCGGAUACGCAUAUCGAAAGAAGAAGAACUGGAAAGACCCUUGCCCUUGUUGAUGUCUGCACAAGUUGGCCGAGUUUACACUGAAUACGCCGUACGCUGAUAUCUACCGUGUCACUACCGAGAAAAGACAUUGCAACAAGCAGCACAUUCAAAUCGGCUCAUUUCCUGGGAAGUUCAUGCCAUGUCAGAUUGUAGAUGUUCUGUAGAGGUCGUUUCCCGCGAGCUCAAUUUCAGCUGGAUAAUAGUUUGUACUGAGAUUUCCACAGCAGUCGAUGAUUGCGAAGAUUCAGAUAUAAGCAGAAGUACAACACACCAAUGACCAAAAAUUUGUAAGAAGAAAAUUCCAUCCCCCUCUCCAAUGAAACAACCUCCCAGUCGAGACCAGUAGAACUUAUUGUUCUCUACAAAGAGUUAAAACUCCGGACAAGCUUC